UUAUAGAGAGAUUUUAGGAGAAAAAGAAGGAAAUUGAGUGUUUGAAGGUGUGGUGCCGAAAUUGAACUGUAGGCACACAACAUUUCAACUGAAGUUGCUUUUCCCAAAAACUUAAGGCUUGUCAACUCUUUUUGUUCUUCCGCUUUUUUCUUCUUAUGGGUUUUUGGGUAAUUGGGGUUCUUUUCUUUUGUUUCUGAAGCCGACUUGUGCUGUUUGGAAGUACCUUUUUGGUCAUAGUUGCUGUGAAUUUACUUCUUUCACC
rnacentral:lncRNA from 1 species